rnacentral:rRNA from 1 species
UGGUGGAGUGAUUUGUCUGGUUGAUUCCGAUAACGAACGAGACCACGAGAGGGUGGUUGAGAUAGAGAGGAAUGAAAAUGAGGGAAGGGUAAAGUGAGAUUGGCUUCGGUUAAUCCGCUUUAUUUGAAACUCUUAUUCCUUUCUUUUCUUACCUACUCCGACCGAAGUGUUUUAACACUUAGGAAGGUCGUGGCAAUAACA